UUCAAUACCGUUGCUUGCAACGGUGUGCACUUUUCCCUUAGUAAGACGUUGUGAUCCAUUAGGAAUCGUUCUUCCUAGAGUUGAACAUUGGGCUACCAAUAGACCUGUGUGAAGUUCACGAUGCCAGACAAGUAGAUCGCUAUGGUUUAUUAUACUGGCUUGUGAGCACACGGUGUUCUGGUGUAGCUGCCUGAUGGAUUUUAACGGCUAUAUCAUUGAUGCUUGCAUCACCAGUUUCGAUUGGAUACGAUAUAUGCCUGAUCAACAACGGUUAAAUUUGGGAUACCUUUGGGACCCGUCUUGAAACACGGACCAAGGAGUCUAUCUAGUAUGCGAGUGAUUAGGUAUAUGAAACCUAUUCGCAUAAAUAACUUGACUGUUAAUGGGAUUACGAGAGCAAUCUCCUCCAUCCCGGGGUAUUUGCAUCACAUUCUUCGGAAUGGCGAAUAUACCAUGAGCAUACUGGAUAUGACCCGAAAGAUGGUGAACUAUGCCUGAUCAGGUUGAAGUCAGGGGAAACCCUGAUGGAGGACCGAAGCAAUUCUGACGUGCAAAUCG
rnacentral:rRNA from 1 species